CUGGCGGCAGGCCUAAUACAUGCAAGUCGAGCGCGCCCUUCGGGGUGAGCGGCGGACGGGUGAGUAACGCGUGGGAAUAUGCCCUUCUCUAAGGAAUAGCCUCUGGAAACGGAGAGUAAUACCUUAUACGCCCUUUGGGGGAAAGAUUUAUCGGAGAAGGAUUAGCCCGCGUUAGAUUAGGUAGUUGGUGGGGUAAUGGCCUACCAAGCCUACGAUCUAUAGCUGGUUUGAGAGGAUGAUCAGCCACACUGGGACUGAGACACGGCCCAGACUCCUACGGGAGGCAGCAGUAGGGAAUCUUAGACAAUGGGGGCAACCCUGAUCUAGCCAUGCCGCGUGUGUGAUGAAGGCCCUAGGGUCGUAAAGCACUUUCGCCAGAGAUGAUAAUGACAGUAUCUGGUAAAGAAACCCCGGCUAACUCCGUGCCAGCAGCCGCGGUAAUACGGAGGGGGUUAGCGUUGUUCGGAAUUACUGGGCGUAAAGCGCACGUAGGCGGAUUAGUAAGUUAGAGGUGAAAUCCCAGGGCUCAACCCUGGAACUGCCUUUAAUACUGCUAGUCUUGAGUUCGAGAGAGGUAAGUGGAAUUCCGAGUGUAGAGGUGAAAUUCGUAGAUAUUCGGAGGAACACCAGUGGCGAAGGCGGCUUACUGGCUCGAUACUGACGCUGAGGUGCGAAAGUGUGGGGAGCAAACAGGAUUAGAUACCCUGGUAGUCCACACCGUAAACGAUGAAUGCCAGACGUCAGCAAGUAUACUUGUUGGUGUCACACCUAACGGAUUAAGCAUUCCGCCUGGGGAGUACGGUCGCAAGAUUAAAACUCAAAGGAAUUGACGGGGGCCCG
rnacentral:rRNA from 1 species